CAGUGUUUUUAUAUAGAUCAGUGGCUAAGAUGAGCGAGCGGGGGUGCUUGGGGAAGACGCGGGAAACGAAGCACCCCCGCGCGCUCGCUCAUCUUGGCCUCUGAUCUAUAUAAAAACACU